CAAUUUGCAAAAAUUUCUCAAAAAUAAAAUUUAAACAAAUAUUUUUAAAAUUAUUGCAAUUUUCUAGAGCUUAUAUAUAUUUUGAAAAAAUUACUUGUUUAAAAAAACCAAUAAAUAUGGUAAAAAAUUUAAAAAUUUUAAAAAAUAAAUAUGAAAAUUUAUAUAUUAGAAAGUUUUUUAAAAAAUUAAGUAGUUUUCUCAAAAAAUAAAUAUAUAAUUUUAAAAUUUUUAAAAAUAAUCUCUAGUAUA
rnacentral:lncRNA from 1 species